CACGCAGAAGACUAGUGUUAUUCAUCUUUAAUAGGUAUAAAGGGUACCUAGACGGAUUAUCAAGCCAAAGUAAGGGACUAAUUUUCUAGAGUUUUAUGUAAGAAUGUCGAAUUACUGGAGGAAAGUCAACAUUUUUUUGAUUACCAGUGAAGACGGGUAACAGCGAAGGCGACUAUUCUAUGUUUAAACUGACGUUGAGGAACGUAAGCC
rnacentral:rRNA from 1 species